rnacentral:rRNA from 1 species
UACAACUUUCAACAACGGAUCUCUUGGCUCUCGCAUCGAUGAAGAACGCAGCGAAAUGCGAUAAGUAAUGUGAAUUGCAGAAUUCAGUGAAUCAUCGAAUCUUUGAACGCACCUUGCGCUCCUUGGUAUUCUGAGGAGCAUGCCUGUUUGAGUGUCAUUAAAUUCUCAA